CAAAUGACUCUCGGCAAUGGAUAUCUCGGCUCUUGCAUCGAUGAAGAACGUAGUGAAAUGCGAUACUUGGUGUGAAUUGCAGAAUCUCGUGAACCAUUGAGUCUUUGAACGCAAGUUGUGCCCGAGGCCUUGUGGCCGAGGGCACGCCUGCUUGGGGGUCAUGG
rnacentral:rRNA from 1 species